GCAAUAAAAAACUGAACUUAUUCAAGGGUGGUCGGCACACUCCCAGUAGAAAGGGGGGUGGUGCUGUAUGACAGUGUUUGAAGCGUUAAUGUUUGCCUUAGCAUUUGCAAGCUUAAUCGUAGUCAUUCUGUAUUUUAACAAAAAAAAUAAUCCAUCCUUGAGUUGAUGUGGACUCGGUGGAUUAUUUCCUAAUAUCCGCUGACCACCCUAAUAAGGGAAGCUUUUUAUUGCUAGACUGUUGGUGUUCUAGCACCAGCA
rnacentral:sRNA from 1 species